rnacentral:rRNA from 1 species
AGCCCAACAGCUAGCCCAUCAAAGCAAUUUCAACUAACCCCUGUUAAUAACCCCUAAGUACCCUAGUAUUUAAUUUAAACAAACCAUUUUUCCCCUCUAGUAUAGGCGAUAGAAAAGGAACCACGGCGCAAUAGAGAAAGUACCGCAAGGGAAUGCUGAAAGAGAAAUGAAAUAACCCAGUAAAGCCUAAAAAAGCAGAGAUUUAACCUCGUACCUUUUGCAUCAUGAUUUAGCCAGUGUACCCCAAGCAAAGAGCACUUUAGUUUGACGUCCCGAAACUACGUGAGCUACUUCAAGACAGCCUAUCAAUAGGGCGUACCCGUCUCUGUGGCAAAAGAGUGGGAAGAGCUUUGAGUAGAGGUGAUAAACCUACCGAACCUAGUUAUAGCUGGUUGUCCAAGAAAUGAAUAGAAGUUCAGCCUCCCGGCUUCUCUUUUCACCCUAGUUUGACCCCUAUUGAUGCCUAAAAGAAACCAAGAGAGUUAGUCAAAGGGGGUACAGCCCCUUUGAAUCAAGACACAACUUUUCAAGGAGGGUAAAGAUCAUA